UUUUGUGGGGUGCUCGAGUGGCGAACGGGUGAGUAACACGUGAGUAACCUGCCCUUGACUUUGGGAUAACUUCGGGAAACUGGGGCUAAUACCGGAUAGGAGCUCCUGCUGCAUGGUGGGGGUUGGAAAGUUUCGGCGGUUGGGGAUGGACUCGCGGCUUAUCAGCUUGUUGGUGGGGUAGUGGCUUACCAAGGCUUUGACGGGUAGCCGGCCUGAGAGGGUGACCGGCCACAUUGGGACUGAGAUACGGCCCAG
rnacentral:rRNA from 1 species